GGAUGUAUGGCUGAGCGGUUUAAAGCAUAAUAUUUGAGAUAUUACAACCUAUUUGGUUCACAGGUUCAAAUCCUGUUGCAUUCG